GUUUUUAGAAAUACAUUUAAGAAAAAAUACGUUUAAAAUUGGUCAUUUUAGUCAGGCAAUACGCUUCGUGUCACAGUUCAUUGUUUUGAGUUUUUUUGUGCGCGCUUGUUGUGAAUUGCUUCUAACGUUACUUGUGCUGUGUAUAGGCUACAAAAUUAAAACAUUUAUUGAUUUUAAUUAUUUAUACAGACAUUAUCACAGAUAUUCUGGCGUUUAUUAGGUAUCAUGUGGCACUGAAGCCUUUUAAAAAACAUAAAAAAGAUUGUAGCUGCAUGUAAUUUACCAACAAAAAGUCCACAUUAGUGUAUUUAGUGAAUCAUGGAGCACAAUGGACUGCAGUCCAGUAACGCUUGUCAGACACAUCUGAAAUGGGUUAAUGGAUUCACUGAGACGUCGCCCAUCUGUUUACCCAGCAAACGUAAACGAAAUGAUGUGAAUACGGUAAAUGGCCACGAAGAGGAUGGUCCUAAGGGGUUUCCCUCCAAAGAGAGCUUGAGGAAACGUGGUUUUGUCUUGAUUGACGGCCAGAGAGGUGUGUUCUACUCUGAAAGCUGGGAGCCCAAUGGCAGCACUUUAUACCUGCCUGUAAAUGGCACUUUGUUAGCCAACAUUGAAAAAUAUGAUCAGAUCAGCUUUGAGCAGGGCUGCUUCUGCAUUGGCAAUGCAGCAGGUGGAUUUCAACAGAAAGUCCAAGGUAGUCCUCAUUAGUUUGUUUGAACAAUAUGAAGGAAUGAAUUAUUAAAGUAGCCUGGUUAUUUCAAGUCUGCAUCGCCUGCGGACAUCUUUUCUAGUAAUCAGGUAUUUAAAACCUCUAAUAAGGGAAUCUCUUUUUGAUUAUGCAGGUCAAGCGAUCCAUUGCUGGCGAUAUAGUGAACGUGAGCGAAAGCUUUUCAUUGCACUUUCUUACUUGUUCACAAACUUACAAGUGAGUUUACUAUUUAAUAAUAUAAAAAUGCAUUAAGUCUAUGCAUUAAGGUAUGACAGUUUGUGUCUUCUCGUCAUAAAUGUGUAUUUUUCUUCUUUAUUCUGUAGGUGUUCCAGGAAGUCGUUAGCACUCUUGAUUGUCUCUGAGGAUUCUGAGUACACACAGUGCCAUCUAAACUAAAAAGCAUAGACCAAUCGUAUUUUAUUUAGUGUAGCCUAGACAUUCCUCUUCUUUGUUACAAUGUCUUUUUUAAACAUCAUUUUACAUAUUGUGAUAAUCAGUUGAAAUAUACAGUAUGUGCCUUUUUGACACAUUAGUGCAUUUCUGUUCUCUGUUGUUACUGCACUUUCACAGUUAGUCAACGAUCAAAGAUAUCAGCCAUGUUUGAUAUCUAAAAAGUGUAUUUAGUUAAUGUUCCAUAAAUGUGGAUACUGAUUUGUUUUGCAUGACAAACAAUAUUGUAAGCGAUCUUGAAGCCUCUGUUAUUGCUGUGAACCAAAACAUGACAUGAAAACACUGUAUUUUAGAUGCCUUUCAAGCUUGUUGCUGAUUUUGUGCACAUAAUUUGUACUCUAAAAAUGUUUGUACUGCUAUAUUGCUGUUGUAUGUGUUUAAGCUUUGCUUUUUAGUGACUUUUUAUAUAUUUUUUUUACUAUAAAAUGGAAGAAUAAAUCCAUUCAAUCUGUUGCUGUUUCUUUAAAA
ensembl:lncRNA